rnacentral:rRNA from 1 species
AUUGAACGCUGGCGGCAUGCCUUACACAUGCAAGUCGAACGGUAACGGGCCUUCGGGUGCCGACGAGUGGCGAACGGGUGAGUAACGUAUCGGAACGUACCUUUCAGUGGGGGAUAACGUAGCGAAAGUUACGCUAAUACCGCAUAUUCUGUGAGCAGGAAAGCAGGGGAUCGCAAGACCUUGCGCUGAUUGAGCGGCCGAUAUCAGAUUGGCUGGUUGGUGAGGUAAAGGCUCACCAAGGCGACGAUCUGUAGCGGGUCUGAGAGGAUGAUCCGCCACACUGGAACUGAGACACGGUCCAGACUCCUACGGGAGGCAGCAGUGGGGAAUUUUGGACAAUGGGGGAAACCCUGAUCCAGCCAUGCCGCGUGAGUGAAGAAGGCCUUCGGGUUGUAAAGCUCUUUCGGCCGGGAAGAAAUCGUAUCAGCUAAUACCUGGUGCGGAUGACGGUACCGGCAUAAGAAGCACCGGCUAACUACGUGCCAGCCGCCGCGGUAAUAC